UCUCGGUCACUGGCUGCCUGCUUGAUUAUCCGUACAUUGAAGCCCUCAGUAGUGCCCUGCAGAUCUUCCUAGCUCUGUUCGGAUUCGUGUUUGCCUGUUAUGUGAGCAAAGUAUUCCUGGAAGAGGAGGACAGCUUUGACUUCAUCGGUGGCUUUGACUCCUAUGGAUACCAGGCGCCUCAGAAGACGUCGCAUUUACAGCUGCAGCCUCUGUACACGUCUGGGUAGCUUCUGUUCCGCACCCACCUCGUAAAGCUCCCUGGACCUCUGGAGCCUGAAGCAGCGCUGUCCGGAGGCUUGGAUCACGAUGAGCAGGCGCGCCCCCUGGCGGCGCUUAGGCUAACUGCAGCUUGUACAGCCUCCUGGAUCUGCAGCCCCUGGAGCAAAUGCGGACUCACUUAGACUUGAACUUGGACCUGACCCUAGCCGGACUUCAGGGUUGGGGCAGGAUGGGGUUGGGGGGAGGGGGAAUCGCUGGGUUUGUAUUUUUUUUAAUCUCAGCCUUGGUACGUGCCAGGGUCUUCCUCUUUCUUCAGCUCUACUCCUUACCUAGUAUCUUGCCCUCAGUCCAAACAGCAAGACAGACGAACUCACCCCAUCUCACCUCUCAUUCACCUGCCCUGGGGAAAGAUACUGUGAACUAGAAGCAGGAGUCCUGGGCUCUAUCACUGGCAUCCUGUGUGACAUCGGGCAGAGUCUUUGCUCUCUCCGGGGCUCAGUUUCCCCACCUCAAAUAAUUAAAAUAAUCCCUUAGCAGAUGAUACUCCUAGCACUCUCGUUUGACUUUUCAAUUCCCUGGGCUAUGGGGCAGAUAUGGAAACUAAGGCCCAGAGAUGUGAGGCGACUUGCUUGAAGCCGCA
rnacentral:lncRNA from 1 species